rnacentral:rRNA from 1 species
UACGUAGGUGGCUAGCGUUGUCCGGAUUUACUGGGCGUAAAGCGUGCGCAGGCGGUUUUGUAAGCCAGAUGUGAAAGCCCCGGGCUUAACCUGGGAAUGGCAUUUGGGACUGCAAGGCUUGAGUGCGGCAGAGGAGACUGGAAUUCCUGGUGUAGCAGUGAAAUGCGUAGAUAUCAGGAGGAAUACCGAUGGCGAAGGCAGGUCUCUGGGCUGACACUGACGCUCAUGCACGAAAGCGUGGGGAGCAAACAGG